UACGUAGGGGUGCGAGCGUUGUCCGGAAUUACUGGGCGUAAAGAGCUCGUAGGUGGUUUGUCGCGUUGUUCGUGGAAAUCUCACGGCUUAACUGUGAGCGUGCGGGCGAUACGGGCAGACUGGAGUACUGCAGGGGAGACUGGAAUUCCUGGUGUAGCGGUGGAAUGCGCAGAUAUCAGGAGGAACACCGGUGGCGAAGGCGGGUCUCUGGGCAGUAACUGACGCUGAGGAGCGAAAGCGUGGGGAGCGAACAGG
rnacentral:rRNA from 1 species